CACAGCGCGCCGCGAGCGCGCGCCGCGCACCCGGCGAACCACCUGAGACUGACGAACACCGCAGUUCAGCCGGUCAUGUACGACGAGGAAGACGAAAUUCUUCUCGUUAGCAGUGCUGUGGUUGUAAUAGCUGCUUACCAUUGUAUGCAACGAAAACAUAAGCGUCGAUCUCGACGAUGGUGGUGCUCAAAUCUUUUUAAAGAUCGUGUAUCUAACCAGAUGUUAGGAGUCCUGAAAGCUCAGGAAAUAAGUGGCCAAUACAAAAAUUUCACACGAAUGAGCCCGACUACUUUUGAAGAUUUAUUGAUUAAAAUUGGACCAAAAAUCUGUAAGAAGGAAACACACUUGCGAGAACCGAUCACUAUUCAAGAUCGGUUAGCCGUGACAUUGCGGUUUCUAGCGACAGGAGACUCGUACUCAAGUCUGCAAUAUCUGUUCAGAAUUUCAAAGCAGGCUAUAGGAGGAAUAGUAACAGAAGUCUGCUCAGCGUUAAUUGAAGUGUUGAAAGAAAAUAUCAAGCUCCCCAAAAAUCCCGCGGAGUGGAUGGAAGUUGUGAAGGUGUUUGAAGAUCUUUGGAAUCUGCCUCAUUGUGUGGGAGCUAUCGACGGCAAGCAUGUCAUUAUACAGUCUCCAAUGAACUCUGGCAGCGAGUUUUACAACUACAAAUCACAAUUUAGUAUUGUAUUGUUUGCUUUGGUAGAUGGAAAUUACAACUUUUUAUUUGCUGAUGUGGGAUGCCAAGGAAGAAUUUCGGAUGGGGGAGUUUUUAACAACAGUAAACUGUAUGACAUGAUGACGAAGAGAA